AACAGAGAGCAAACCGCCGAUGGCCCACGCAAGUGGGAUCAGGUAAGGGUGAAAGGGUGCGGUAAGAGCGCACCGCGCGGCUGGUAACAGUCCGUGGCACGGUAAACUCCACCCGGAGCAAGGCCAAAUAGGGGUUCAUAAGGUACGGCCCGUACUGAACCCGGGUAGGCUGCUUGAGCCAGUGAGCGAUUGCUGGCCUAGAUGAAUGACUGUCCACGACAGAACCCGGCUUAUCGGUCAGUUUCACUU
rnacentral:RNase_P_RNA from 1 species